rnacentral:rRNA from 1 species
GACGAACGCUGGCGGCGUGCCUAACACAUGCAAGUCGAGCGAAGUGAGUACUACGGUACGAACUUAGCGGCGGACGGGUGAGUAACGCGUGGACAAUCUACCCUGUAGACUGGGAUAACACCUCGAAAGGGGUGCUAAUACCGGAUAAUGUCGAGAAGCGGCAUCGCUUUUCGAAGAAAGGAGAGAAUCCGCUAUAGGAGGAGUCCGCGUCCCAUUAGCUAGUUGGUGAGGGUAACGGCCCGCCAAGGCGACGAUGGGUAGCCGGCCUGAGAGGGUGAACGGCCACACUGGAACUGAGACACGGGCCAGACUCCUACGGGAGGCAGCAGUGGGGAAUAUUGUGCAAUGGGGGAAACCCUGACACAGCAACGCCGCGUGAGCGAAGAAGGCCUUCGGGUUGUAAAGCUCAAUAGUAUGGGAAGAUAAUGACGGUACCAUACGAAAGCCCCGGCUAACUACGUGCCAGCCGCCGCCGUAAUAC